NNNNNNNNNNNNNNNNNNNNNNNNNNNNNNNNNNCGGACCCGCGUCCGGCCCAGCUCUCCGCGCCUCGUCUCCCGGACGGGUAAACUGAGGCCUGGAGAGGGCUCGGGGCUAGGGUUCGAGUCCCGCCGCCCGUCACGACUCCGAGGAGGCGCUGGGACCGGGAGGCGAGACAGCGAUGCCAAGAGCGGGCCCUCCUCUCUCACGUGAUAGUACUUCACCCAAGGGACUACUGUGAGGUUAAGUUAAUGCUUGCAAAGCUGACGGGACAGUGCGGGGAGUUGUGCCCGCUAGUACUCCCCUGGAUUAACCGCCGCGGCAUCCACCACGGAUAAUCCCCAGCAGGGGGGUGAAACCACUUGUCCAAGGUCGCCCAGCCAGGAAAUGACUGAGUAGAGAAGAUUGAUCUCCAGCCAGUUUGACUUUAAAGCCGGGGCUCUGCCUGCAGAGAGCAGUCAGCUCUGUUAGCCUGGAUCAAAGGAGGCACCCGAGAGUCCAACGCGUUCAAGCUGGCUCUUAAAAGAGCCUGCAAGAGGAAAGCUAAUUUCAGGCAGAGAGAGGAUGGAUGCAAAGGCGUAAAGACGUGAUACCGAAUGGCUGGCUGGUGUGAGUGGUGUGGCGGGAGUAUGGGAGACAUAUGGAUAUGGUGAUGAUGCCGCUGAAGCUAGACAGGGAAAGGAAGCCAGAACCUGGGAGGAGGUAUUGUAGGGUCUAGAAUGACAUUGAAUGUCCUUGUAUGUCUACCUUAGAAUUCACCUUGUAGGUCAGCGGUUUUCAUCAAGUGGUCCUGGGACUGUUGGAUGUCCCUCCGAUCCUUUCAGGAGUCAGUGAGCUCCGAAUUAUUUUCAGAAUAAUGCUAAACGUGGUUUGCUUUUUUUUUUUUUUUUAACCCAUUCUCUCACGAGCAUACAGUGACGUUUUCCAUAGAAUAUAGGACAUAUGAUAUUGCAACAGCUUAAAUACAGAAACCCGAUUUUAGAAUCCAGCUGUCUUCUCUUACACCAGGUGUUAAAGAGAUUUGCACAAAUGUAUAAAACGCUACUCUUUCACAUUUUGUUGUAGAAAAUACAGAUAUUUUUCAUUGGAGAUGUGUUUAUGAUAACAUGUAAUGAGUGUAUUGUUGUAAUUUUAAAUGAAUAAAAAUGUAGAACUUUCUCAGUUUUUAAUUUCUAAUAUGGUAAAUAUUGACGGAAGGAACUAACUGCAUGGAAAGGGGUCUUAAGACCAAAGGGUUUAUGAAUUUGCAACAACAUGGUUGGAACUAGAGGGUAUUGUGCUAAGAGAAA
rnacentral:lncRNA from 1 species